GCGCUCUCGGGAUCCACUCUCGGCCUCUGCCCGCGCAGGGCUCGGGGAGUACAGGAGGGGAGCUGCAGCGAGAACUGGAGGAAUUUGUUCACCUUUGUCCAGGGGGAGUGGGACUUCAACAUUUCUCUUCAAAAGACUCUGUUCAAGACUGUUCACCAGGAAAACCCCUAAAAACAACGAGCCAACACAGAAUUAGGGGACCUAGGUGAUGUCUAAGGAUAGGCGCGUAGUCCAGUGCCUGCUUGGAUCCUUUUUGCUUCUCACCCUGACCUGAAAUGAUGUUCACUAAGGAGGGGACCCGAGGUGUUAGACCGAAAAGUAGGAAUCUGCUAAUCUCCCGUGAGGACGCAGUCCCCAGCUCUGCCUGCAGACCAGCGGACAGAGCUGCAUCACCCUCCUCCUCCGUGCCACUCCUGGGAGCAGCGGCAGCAUGGGCACAACCCGUCGAUUUCUCCCCAC